AGCGAACGCUGGCGGCAGGCUUAACACAUGCAAGUCGAGCGGGCACCUUCGGGUGUCAGCGGCAGACGGGUGAGUAACACGUGGGAACGUACCCUUCGGUUCGGAAUAACGCUGGGAAACUAGCGCUAAUACCGGAUACGCCCUUAUGGGGAAAGGUUUACUGCCGAAGGAUCGGCCCGCGUCUGAUUAGCUAGUUGGUGGGGUAACGGCCUACCAAGGCGACGAUCAGUAGCUGGUCUGAGAGGAUGAUCAGACACACUGGGACUGAGACACAGCACAGACUCCUACGGGAGGCAGCAGUGGGGAAUAUAGGAAAAUGGGCGGAAGCAUGAUCCAGCCAUGACGCGUGAGUGAUGAAGGCCUUAGGGUUGUAAAGCUCUUUUGUCCGGGACGAUAAUGACGGUACCGAAAGAAUAAGCCCCGGCUAACUUCGUG
rnacentral:rRNA from 1 species